rnacentral:lncRNA from 1 species
CCCGCCGCUCGCCGGGCCUCGCCGCCCACGGGUCUUCCAGAUGGCCCCAGAUCCUACAUCCCUGACAGAUGUCACCCUCCCCCCACCCGCCCAGUCUCUCCAAAGAUCCCCUUCCCCCCCAGAUAUGCUUUAUUAAACCCGCUCUCCCCACUCCCUAAAGAGCUGGUCUCCUGGAGGUUUAGACGGGCAAUCCAUCACGAUUGGAUUCGUGCCCCUCCCCUCUCCGUCUUUUUCCCUCCUUUCUCCCUCCUUCCCCUUUCCUCUCCUCUCUCUCUCUAUUUGCCCUCCCUAAUUCCCUCCCCUCCUCCCCUUCUUUCCCUCCUCCCUCCUUCCCUUUCCCUCCUCCUCGCCCUCCUUUCUCCAUCCUUCCCCUUUCCUCUCCUCUCUCUAGCUUUGCCUUCCCUAAUCCCCUCCCUCUUCCUUCCCUUUUUCCUUCCUCCCCUGCUCUCUCCCUCCUCCUCCUUCCCUCCCCUUUUCCCUUCCUCUCUUCCUCCCUCCCUCCUCCUCUCCCUCUUUCCUUCCUCCUUCCUUCCCCCUCCCUCUUCCUUCUGUUUCCCUCCUCCUUCCCCUCCUUUCUCCGUCCUCUCCCUUUCCUCUCCUCUCUCCCUCUUUGCCCUCCCUAAUCCCCUCCAUCCUCCUCCCCCCUUUCCCUCCCUCCCUCCUUCCUCCUCCUCCUCCCCUCCCGUCCCUCCUCCCGCUUCCUCCCUUUCUCCAUCCUCCCCCUUCCCUGCCCUCCUUCCCCCUGCCCACCCCCUCCCCUGCGGUCGGGCCCACGGAGCAGGCCCAGAGGGUGUUCCGUUUGGCAUUUUUGAAGAGGGGAGGGCCGCGGGGUGGGUGUCCGGGGCCCAGAAGGUGGGUUUAGGCUGCUUGGAGCCAAACCUCCCCCCGGCCCCUCCAGACAGACGGCAGGAGGGGGUCGUUCCUGGAGAGGAAGGGGGCUUCCUCGCCCUCCUCCCACCUCCCCCGGGGGAGGAGCAAGGAGGGAGCGAGAAGGAAAUCCAGGCGUGGAGACGGGCCCGGGGCCCCUUCGCACCUCGGCACUCAGCCCGCCUUUCGGCAGAUCGGGGAAGAGCGGGACUUGCCGGGGCGGGCGGGCACCGUAUACCUUCCAGCCACGUUGGCGAGACUGGAGUCAUCACCCAACGCAUGUCACCCGUGUCAUACGUGUCCCUCCCAUGUAGACAGUUCCCCCCGCGGGUGCGGGCGGGCAGACACUUCUUCCUUUCUCCCCGUCGAUCUGGCCGUGCCCACAGUCCACCGCGAAACGUCUUCCCCUCUCGCCAAGCGGUGCGGUUUGUCUUUAAGGAGAGGAGAAAAAUAAGAAAUGAGGCUCACGUUGCACGGAUGACAUCACUAGCUUUUGGCCGAGCGCUCUCUGUGCUCCGUCUGGGGGCUCCUGCCAAGGCUGCAGCGCGCAGUCCUCGACCGAGAAAACGGAUGCCCAGGUGUGCGAGAGGGAAGGCGCAUCUCCUCUGA